UCUUCUUCAAAACCCUAACCCUAAGUAAGCAGCGGCGCCUCUCUCUCCCGAGUCCUCAGUCUUCAAUCGAUUCAUCUCUCCCGACCUUAGAUCUUUUGGCGAGAACAUCGGCGUCGCUCCUUCGUCGAUCUCUCUCACUCUCCUCUGGCAGUUGUUUAGCGUCGCUGCUGCUGCUGAGCUUUGAAAGUUUGGAAAAUUUUGCUUAAAUGGAGGAACCUGCUUCUAAUGAGGCUCAAAUGCAUG